rnacentral:rRNA from 1 species
UUUAGGAAUAUUGGGCAAUGGAGGGAACUCUGACCCAGCAACGCCGCGUGAAGGAAGAAGGUUUUCGGAUUGUAAACUUCUGAUCUGUGGAAAAAGAAAGUGAUGGUACCACAGGAGCAAGCCACGGCUAACUACGUGCCAGCAGCCGCGGUAAUACGUAGGUGGCAAGCGUUGUCCGGAAUGACUGGGCGUAAAGGGAGCGUAGGUGGUGCUUUAAGUUAAAUGUGAAAGACCGGGGCUCAACUCCGGAACUGCAUUUAAUACUGGAGUGCUAGAGUACAGGAGGGGUAAGCGGAAUUCCUAGUGUAGCGGUUAAAUGCGUAGAUAUUAGGAGAACACCAGAGGCGAAGGCGGCUUACUGGACUGCAACUGACACUGAGGCUCGAAAGCGUGGGGAGCAAACAGGAUUAGAUACCCUGGGUA